rnacentral:rRNA from 1 species
AUUGAACGCUGGCGGCAUGCCUUACACAUGCAAGUCGAACGGUAGCGGGCCUUCGGGUGCCGACGAGUGGCGAACGGGUGAGUAAUGUAUCGGAACGUACCUUUCAGUGGGGGAUAACGUAGCGAAAGUUGCGCUAAUACCGCAUAUUCUGUGAGCAGGAAAGCAGGGGAUCGCAAGACCUUGCGCUUAUUGAGCGGCCGAUAUCAGAGUAGCCAGUUGGGGAGGUAAAGGCCCACCAAGGCGACGAUCUGUAGCGGGUCUGAGAGGAUGAUCCGCCACACUGGAACUGGGACACGGUCCAGACUCCUACGGGAGGCAGCAGUGGGGAAUUUUGGACAAUGGGGGCAACCCUGAUCCAGCCAUGCCGCGUGAGUGAAGAAGGCCUUCGGGUUGUAAAGCUCUUUCGGCCGGGAAGAAAUCGUAUCAGCUAAUACCUGGUGCGGAUGACGGUACCGGCAUAAGAAGCACCGGCUAACUACGUGCCAGCAGCCGCGGUAAUAC